rnacentral:lncRNA from 1 species
UGCAAAGAAAUAUACCUGAUCGAUUGCAAGCCAGUGGUUUGUUAAUUCUUGGAAAUGACAAUCUAACGAGUUACCUUCCUUAACUGACUUUGGUUUAGUAAGUCGGGGCUCGUUACAUCAGAUAUUUCAUUACCUCCUCUCCUUUUACAUCAAAUAUUUCAUUACCGGUCCAUCCGUCAGUUUUAAUCGCAAGAAUCGUCACCUUAGGUCUUGGUCGCCAAUUUUUCAUGAGAUAUUUUACAUUUCGAAUCCAUGAUAUUGAUGAAGAAGGUUGAUGAAAGGCUUUAUCACCAUUGAGUAUAAGUAAUAAUCCUUUUUUCGCCAUUUGUGUUGCUUCAUACAAAUGCCUACCUGAACUUUCUUGACUCAGAUGAAUAAGAGGUUAUUUUACAUCUGUUUGGUGAGAGUUUUAACAUGAAGCCUGAAUAUUUAUAAUGAAAUCAUUUUCCAAAAU